GCUGCACUCACAAGAGACUGCCAGUGAUAUGCUGGAGGAAGGUGGGGAUGACGUCAAAUCAUCAUGCCCCUUAUGUCUUGGGCUGCACACGUGCUACAAUGGCCGGUACAAUGAGCUGCGAUUCCGUGAUGCGGAGC
rnacentral:rRNA from 14 species